UACGUAGGGUGCAAGCGUUAAUCGGAAUUACUGGGCGUAAAGCGUGCGCAGGCGGUUGUGCAAGGACAGAUGUGAAAUCCCCGGGCUCAACCUGGGAACUGCAUUUGUGACUGCAUAGCUAGAGUGCGGCAGAGGGGGAUGGAAUUCCGCGUGUAGCAGUGAAAUGCGUAGAUAUGCGGAGGAACACCGAUGGCGAAAGGCAAUCCC
rnacentral:rRNA from 1 species